CUGUUUCUUCAGCACAAGAAAUAGAGAAUUCAGCAAGUGCUCUUGGUGGCCCUGGAUUCUGCCUCUCUCAUAACUUUUGCUCAGGUCCGACUACCAGAGCUCUUUUCUACCUCUGUAGGUCUGGAGCCUGCACUUGUGAGUUGUGACUUUAAACUUCAGAUCGUGUUUCCAGUUCAAGAUGGGGCGUUGGAAUCCCGGCUUCUGACGGAAGCCACCUGUGCUGGAUGGGUGUUCAUUCUCUGGCUGGGGAUCCUCUCUCAAGCUGCCAUUCCCACGCUCCCCCCGGCAGCAGAGAAAAAGAAAGCGAAACCUGGUUAAGAACAUGAACUCUGGAGCCAGAAAACUUGGAUCCAAACCAAGCAUUGCAACUAAGACUUGUGACUUUAGAAUUGAAUUCUGAAACUAGAAAAGAGUUCAAAUUGAUGACAUUUUUACCUACUUCAUUUGCCAGAUUUUUAUCAAGGAAUUCUAUGUCCUCAGCACAAUUUGGGCAUUUAAAACCAGCAGUGGAAUAAGAAUGAUUGACUCUGUUCUCCAACAGUGUGUAUUUUAAUAGAGAGACAAAAACAGCUAUUGAGACAGGGAUGCAGAAGAACCACCUGAGCUGCUGAAGGUACCACUGUGAAAUUCAAUGAAAAUAUGUGGCCAGAGAAUCGAAGGUAGGAGCCUACCCAGCCUCCUGUGCUAGAUGGAAGUGUAAGUUUUGACAGCAGAUUUCCUUGAACCUGCCCCUACUUAUUGCCAAUUACUUGCAAGUGACAUAGCUAUCGAAAAUCUGUAUAACCUUGUCUUGGAAGUCAGGAUAAACAAACAGCUGUGCUGUAGCGAGGCCUCUAGGAAGGUGGUUCAUGCAAAAGACAGAACCGAGUCCAACAUAGAGCUCAAGAGCAGAGCGACAGAAAAAAGUUUUUCCUC